rnacentral:pre_miRNA from 1 species
GUGGUACUCCCUCCGUCCGAAAAUACUUGUCAUCAAAAUGGAUAAAAGGAGAUGUAUCUAGAUGUAUUUUAGUUCUAGAUACAUCCCUUUUUAUUAAUUUUGGUGACAAGUAUUUUCGGACGGAGGGAGUAUAUG